GACGAACGCUGGCGGCGUGCUUAACACAUGCAAGUCGAACGGUGAAGCUCCAGCUUGCUGGAGUGGAUCAGUGGCGAACGGGUGAGUAACACGUGAGCAACCUGCCCCUGACUCUGGAAUAAGCGCUGGAAACGGCGUCUAAUACUGGAUACGAGAAGGGUCCGCAUGGGCACUUUCUGGAAAGUUUUUCGGUUGGGGAUGGGCUCGCGGCCUAUCAGCUUGUUGGUGAGGUAAUGGCUCACCAAGGCGACGACGGGUAGCCGGCCUGAGAGGGCGACCGGCCACACUGGGACUGAGACACGGCCCAGACUCCUACGGGAGGCAGCAGUGGGGAAUAUUGCACAAUGGGCGAAAGCCUGAUGCAGCGACGCCGCGUGAGGGAUGACGGCCUUCGGGUUGUAAACCUCUUUCAGCAGGGAAGAAGCGAAAGUGACCGUACCUGCAGAAGAAGCACCGGCUAACUACGUG
rnacentral:rRNA from 1 species